ACAAAACCCGCGCUGUGUAUGCAGCGCGGGUUUUUCUUAUGCGUUAUCCUGGAACUUUGGCGAUGGGGCCGGGAGGGCCAAGCGUAUCAUCGAUCUGUCGGUCGGUAUGGUAAGUGACGCAAGCUGUAUGGUAAGUGACGCAAGCUGAAAGAAGAGCGCUGAACAGCAGAAAAAAUACCGAUAGAAACAAUCUGCGUCCGAUGACCCCUAUCGAAUUUAAAAUAUCAAACAUUUGGAUUUAAUCCCUGAGUGAAGAUUGCAGUCGUAAAGUAAAAGGACGGUCCAGGCACUUGCGCUUUUUUGCCUGCAAAGAAUUCCGGUUUGCCGGUUUUCCCGGCGUCCAGUUUUGGGUAUGAGAGCGCAUCCCGAAAAGUGUGAAACGGUUUUCGGAUAAGAUGCGCGUCAAAAAAUAGUUGGAGCGCCGAUCUGAUUCAUU
rnacentral:ncRNA from 15 species